rnacentral:rRNA from 1 species
CAGUGUUGGCUGCCUAACGGGUAGCAAACCUCACCCUUGUGUAUUAUAUCUAAAAUUCUGAAAAUGUCGUCUGAGUACUAUCUAAUAGUUAA